AUUGAACGCUGGCGGCAGGCCUAACACAUGCAAGUCGAGCGGAUGAAGGGAGCUUGCUCCUGGAUUCAGCGGCGGACGGGUGAGUAAUGCCUAGGAAUCUGCCUGGUAGUGGGGGAUAACGUCCGGAAACGGGCGCUAAUACCGCAUACGUCCUGAGGGAGAAAGUGGGGGAUCUUCGGACCUCACGCUAUCAGAUGAGCCUAGGUCGGAUUAGCUAGUUGGUGGGGUAAAGGCCUACCAAGGCGACGAUCCGUAACUGGUCUGAGAGGAUGAUCAGUCACACUGGAACUGAGACACGGUCCAGACUCCUACGGGAGGCAGCAGUGGGGAAUAUUGGACAAUGGGCGAAAGCCUGAUCCAGCCAUGCCGCGUGUGUGAAGAAGGUCUUCGGAUUGUAAAGCACUUUAAGUUGGGUGGAAGGGCUGUAAGUUAAUACCUUGCUGUUUUGACGUUACCAACAGAAUAAGCACCGGCUAACUUCGU
rnacentral:rRNA from 1 species